rnacentral:rRNA from 1 species
CCUACGGGUCGCACCAGUGGGGAAUAUUGCACAAUGGGUGCAAGCCUGAUGCAGCCAUGCCGCGUGUAUGAAGAAGGCCUUCGGGUUGUAAAGUACUUUCAGCGGGGAGGAAGGCGAUAAGGUUAAUAACCUUGUCGAUUGACGUUACCCGCAGAAGAAGCACCGGCUUACUCCGUGCCAGCAGCCGCGGUAAUACGGAGGAUGCAAGCGUUAAUCGGAAUUACUGGGCGUAAAGCGCACGCAGGCGGUCUGUCAAGUCAGAUGUGAAAUCCCCGGGCUCAACCUGGGAACUGCAUCUGAUACUGGCAAGCUUGAGUCUCGUAGAGGGGGGUAGAAUUCCAGGUGUAGCGGUGAAAUGCGUAGAGAUCUGGAGGAAUACCGGUGGCGAAGGCGGCCCCCUGGACAAAGACUGACGCUCAGGUGCGAAAGCGUGGGGAGCAAACAGGAUUAGAUACCCGGGUAGUC